CGUUCUCGUUCGAUCACCGAAGUUAAGCAGCGUCGAGCCCGGUCAGUACUUAGAAGGGUGACCGAUUGGGAACACCAGGUGCUGUAAG